rnacentral:rRNA from 1 species
AGCGAACGCUGGCGGCAGGCCUAACACAUGCAAGUCGAACGAACUCUUCGGAGUUAGUGGCGGACGGGUGAGUAACACGUGGGAACGUGCCUGUUGGUUCGGAAUAACUCAGGGAAACUUGUGCUAAUACCGAAUGUGCCCUUCGGGGGAAAGAUUUAUCGCCAUUAGAGCGGCCCGCGUCUGAUUAGCUAGUUGGUGAGGUAACGGCUCACCAAGGCGACGAUCAGUAGCUGGUCUGAGAGGAUGACCAGCCACACUGGGACUGAGACACGGCCCAGACUCCUACGGGAGGCAGCAGUGGGGAAUCUUGCGCAAUGGGCGAAAGCCUGACGCAGCCAUGCCGCGUGAAUGAUGAAGGUCUUAGGAUUGUAAAAUUCUUUCACCGGGGACGAUAAUGACGGUACCCGGAGAAGAAGCCCCGGCUAACUUCGUG